CAUGGAAGGGGUCAGCCUGGAGAUGUUGGAGCUGUCUCAGGAGGCAUGGAAAAGUUUUAAAAGAAGUGAUGACACACUUUGAUUUCUUUCUUGGUGUACACAGUGUGUGCUGCCGUGCAGAGGAUUCCAGUUGCCAUAAUUUUCAGUAGAAAGAAUAAUUAUCACGGGGAACUUUUCUGCAGGAGACUUGCUACCACACUGUAUUGGCAGGAGUCUUGCAGAAAAAUACACAAGGGCUAUUGUACUUCCUACGACAGGAAGGUUCUUAGAAAAAGAAGCCCACAGGAGUCAGUGGCAUUGGGAGCAAGGCAGAACAAUGCAAAAUGAAU